rnacentral:rRNA from 1 species
CAGCCGCCGCGGGAAAACCAGCAGCCCAAGUGGUGGUCGCGUUUAUUGGGCCUAAAGCGCUCGUAGCCUGGCCGGUAAGUUCCCCGUGAAAUCGGGUCGCCCAACGAUUCGGCUUGCGGGGAAUACUGUCGGUCUUGGGGCCGGGAGACGCCGAGGGUACUCCGGGGGUAGCGGUGAAAUGCUGUAAUCCUCGGGGGACUACCAGUGGCGAAGGCGCUCGGCGAUAACGGGCCUGACGGUGAGGGGCGAAAGCUGGGGGCGCGAACGGGAUUAGAUACCCCGGUAGUCCCUGUCUCUUAUU